GACGAACGCUGGCGGCGUGCUUAACACAUGCAAGUCGAACGGAAAGGCCCUGCUUUUGUGGGGUGCUCGAGUGGCGAACGGGUGAGUAACACGUGAGUAACCUGCCCUUGACUUUGGGAUAACUUCAGGAAACUGGGGCUAAUACCGGAUAGGAGCUCCUGCUGCAUGUUGGGGGUUGGAAAGUUUCGGCGGUUGGGGAUGGACUCGCGGCUUACCAGCUUUUUGGUGGGGUAGUGGCUUACCAAGGCUUUGACGGGUAGCCGGCCUGAGAGGGUGACCGGCAACAUUGGGACUGAGAUACGGCCCAGACUCCUACGGGAGGCAGCAGUGGGGAAUAUUACACAAUGGGCGGAAGCCAGAUGCAGAAACGCCGCGUGCGGGAUGACGGCCUUCGGGUUGUAAACCGCUUUCGCCUGUGACGAAGCGUGAGUGACGGUAAUGGGUAAAGAAGCACCGGCUAACUACGUG
rnacentral:rRNA from 1 species